rnacentral:rRNA from 1 species
GACGAACGCUGGCGGCGUGCUUAACACAUGCAAGUCGAACGGAAAGGCCCUGCUUGCUGGGUACUCGAGUGGCGAACGGGUGAGUAACACGUGGGUGAUCUGCCCUGCACUUCGGGAUAAGCUUGGGAAACUGGGUCUAAUACCGGAUAGGAGCCAUCUUUAGUGUGGUGGUUGGAAAGUUUUUUCGGUGUAGGAUGAGCUCGCGGCCUAUCAGCUUGUUGGUGGGGUAAUGGCCUACCAAGGCGGCGACGGGUAGCCGGCCUGAGAGGGUGUACGGCCACAAUGGGACAGAGAUACGGCCCAGACUCCUACGGGAGGCAGCAGUGGGGAAUAUUGCACAAUGAGCGCAAGCCUGAUGCAGAGACGCCGCGUGGGAGAUGAAGGCAUUCGGGUUGUAAACUCCUUUAGCUAGGGACGAAGCUUUUUUGUGACGGUACCUAGAGAAGAAGCACCGGCUAACUACGUG